GACGAACGCUGGCGGCGUGCCUAAUACAUGCAAGUCGAACGCUUCUUUCCUCCCGAGUGCUUGCACUCAAUUGGAAAGAGGAGUGGCGGACGGGUGAGUAACACGUGGGUAACCUACCCAUCAGAGGGGGAUAACACUUGGAAACAGGUGCUAAUACCGCAUAACAGUUUAUGCCGCAUGGCAUAAGAGUGAAAGGCGCUUUCGGGUGUCGCUGAUGGAUGGACCCGCGGUGCAUUAGCUAGUUGGUGAGGUAACGGCUCACCAAGGCCACGAUGCAUAGCCGACCUGAGAGGGUGAUCGGCCACACUGGGACUGAGACACGGCCCAGACUCCUACGGGAGGCAGCAGUAGGGAAUCUUCGGCAAUGGACGAAAGUCUGACCGAGCAACGCCGCGUGAGUGAAGAAGGUUUUCGGAUCGUAAAUCUCUGUUGUUAGAGAAGAACAAGGACGUUAGUAACUGAACGUCCCCUGACGGUAUCUAACCAGAAAGCCACGGCUAACUACGUG
rnacentral:rRNA from 1 species